AGCCUACGGGGGGCAGCAGUAGGGAAUUUUCGUCAAUGGGCGCAAGCCUGAACGAGCAAUGCCGCGUGAACGAGGAAGGUCUUCGGAUCGUAAAGUUCUGUUGAAGGGGAAAAAGAGCGGAGAGAGGAAAUGGUCUCCGAUUGAUAUUACCCUUCGAGGAAGUCACGGCUAACUACGUGCCAGCAGCCGCGGUAAUACGUAGGUGGCGAGCGUUAUCCGGAAUGAUUGGGCGUAAAGGGUGCGUAGGCUGCCUGCUAAGUCUGGAGUGAAAGGUACCGGCUCUACCGGUACAGGCUCUGGAAACU
rnacentral:rRNA from 1 species